rnacentral:tRNA from 1 species
ACCAUGGAGGACUAGUGGUUAGGCCACAGCACUCUCACUGGUGCGGCCCGGGUUCGAUUCCUGGCCAGGGAA